rnacentral:lncRNA from 1 species
UUCUCUCUCUCUCUCUCUUUCUCCCUAUUUUUAGGUGAAGUACGCGCGUGCGCUCACUUCGCCGGAGCUCGUAUAGUUCCUCUGCGAUCUCCGAAGAAACUCACAAAAACCCUCCCCUACUCGUCCAGUUGUAUACUAUGUAGAUUUCUCGCCCUUUCUUUAUCUCCUUUGCCAGCAUCUUAAAGCUUUGAAAAAAUAUAAAAUAAAAGCCCUUUCUUAAGCUGCACUGCUGUUGAAUCACUCCCCCCUCUUCGGUUGAUGCCUGUUGGCUGUGGUCGCCAACACUAAAUCAAUCGCUGAGGGAUGCGCGUAUUAGGCAUCUUAUGGUGUACGUGAGUUGGGGAAGGAGGGGGGAUAAAACAAUCGGCAAAGAAGCCGAGAGUGGACAGUGAUUAAGAAUUCAACAGUCGGCGGCGAAUGGAUAAAAACAAGGACAUCAGCGACACGGACGGCCAAUAUAGAAGGACGACGUUAUAGACGACAGCGCACAAGAUUCAACGAGACGAUUUCCAAAAUCGGACGGGCCAUCUGACACAAGUAUCUUGGCCAAAUGGCUUUUGUGCCCGUUUUUAUUUCUCUGUUUAUACUUCAACUAUCGACGCGUGUGUACAAAGUAGGUACGCAAACACACAAGAUCGUCCUCUCCCUUGUGUCCACACAGCAAAGGAAAUAAACGAUAACAAGAAGAAAACGGUCAUCGCAGAAAAAGGAGUUUCAAAUUUCUAGGUCGAUAGAGAGUCGACAAAAGUCUCAAAACAUUUUCUUCUUCUUCUUCUUCUACUCAUUAUUUUAUUGUAGCGAUGGCGCUCUCUCUUUUUCUUUGCUAGUCGCUUUUGUCGAAGUUGCUGUGCGCAUUCCCGCGUGUUGUUUUUCGUAAUCGAGCGAGACGGCAACGGCUUUUUAGUGUCGCGCAACCGACUCACGAACCUCGCCGGCUCGACGAUGUCCCGAACUAUAGGAAUCUUUCAGCCACAAAAAAAUAAAAUAAAAUAAUGGCGAUGUUAGAUUCGUAUAAGGUUGACUAUAUUACAAAAGAGUCUGAAGAAACAGCGCCAUUAGGUUUGCCAUUUCAAGUCACGUCGCUCUUUUGCCGUUGUCGCCAACGAAUUAAGGGGACGGCCGUAUUUUCAAAUUCUAUUGGUUAAAGCGAAUGAAAAUAUAUGUACAAAGUGUUGGGGUCCAGCAACUUCGAUACCGGGCUGUAUAUGACCCAUCAAUAAAGACGAAGAUGGGACGAACAAGAGAAAUAGGAGACGGAUACGGCGCUUAGCUGGACGUCUGACGGGACUGACGACCGUUGCUGUUUUGAAUGUUUGAAUUGCUGCCAAUGUCUUUUUUUUUUGUGUGAUCAGUUGUGUACGUUUUCUUCUUUCAUUUCUGUCCUGCACACAAUCGAAAAAGGAAAAACAAAUAUCCGCGUUUAGUGGAUGGUGUUGCCCUUUUACAGGCCAAAAGAUGAAUUCAAUUCCUUUUGGUAUAGCAAAAACAGAAAACGGACUGAAAGCGCUUUGGUGUUCUACUGUGGCAAGAAAUAACAGAAAUACAUUAGAGGGAGGGGGUUGAAAAACAGAAGGAAAUAAAUAGGAGGAUCGGAGGACGAUGAGAAAUGGCCGGUGCGUGCUGCGAAGAGAUGCCUGGAAAAAAAAACCCAAAAUUGAUGCUGGGAACUGGCUGUUGGACGUCUGUUUCUUUUCACCUCGUCUUUUGACUUUCUACAGAAAAUUCUUCUUCGUGUGUUCUUCUUUUUGCCCCUUUUCUUGUUUUAUUAUUAUUGAAAAAAUAAAAUUUUUUCUUUCCAAACGUUGGGCUGUUCUUCCUCUUCCCCACUCGAAUGGCCUUUUCUCUCUGAUGUCGACGGCAAAGUUCUUUCGCUUGUGUAACCAACUCUACACACAGUCUUCGAAAUAAUGUGUCGCUUGAGGGCUGGCCACCCUUUUUUUUACGCGACUGCCAUGAAUAUAUAUUUCCUCGUUUUCUCCUGUUCUCGUUCUCUUGAUUCAUUUUUAUCUCUUUUCCACCGUCUGCUAAUUCGUUCGCAGCAGCCGCGCUUACAGAAGCACCGGCACACACCACUGUUGCCACACACACACACACAGCAUUUACAAUGUUUGACGGCCAAGAGAAUACCUGACCCAAAGGUCUUCCAACAGAAACCCUUAUACAUUUUGGUUUUGUUUUUUAUUAUUUUCUUCUGUCUAAAGCCGCCAGCCCGCCCGGACCGGUCGGAUGAACGAUCCUCAUCUUGUCAGUCUUUUGUCUAUUAUUCACCUCUUAUUUUAUUUUUAUUUUUUUGUGUGUGUAAAUUUUGUUGUUUUAUUUUCUCUCUUUCCCUCUCCUGCAGCUCAUCAAAUUAUUUCUAUGAAUAACGUACCAAAAAAAAAAUAAAUAAAUAAGGCCUCGCCGUUGCUUAUAAUGAAGGUGCCCCAUCAGUUUCUUUUCCAUUUGGAAACUUUUUACGGCCGUUUUUAUGGCUGCUUUUCAUUCAUCUCACGGCCGAGCGCAGAGCCAUAUGCUGAUUUCCAGCAGGCAUCGGUAAUUAGGAGCAACCACACAAGGCAGCGUAAAAAGACAGGAACAACGAAGGUACAACAAUCGCUAACCACCUUGAUUUUUUCUGCCCAAAUUCUUUAUUUUUUCCUGGAUUUUCUUUUUUGCAACCUGCCCCAAAAGAAAAUUAAAACCAUAAAUUAAAUAAAUACACAUCACAUAUGCCGACGAUGGUUGCGUGUUUCAUUAUUUUAUACGCGCUAUCGUAAAAAAAAAAACUGUAGAAAAUUAUAAAGGGAACAAGACGAAGGCCAAACAGCUGAGGCUGCGCUGCAAAGCGCAAAUGUUUCACGACAUAUCGUAGCUCUUCCUCCUUUUUUUUUUCUUUUUUUUUUGUCCAUGUGAUGCGCAUAGUUUUUUGUGACCUACAAGGAUAUAUUUGAAGUUUUCUUGGCAUCUGUCAACGCCAAAUGCACAACUGCUAAUCUGCAAAGCAACGGAAAAAUUGAGGGAACAGUUGGCUCCUGAAUGGCGGAGACAAAAUAGACUAAUAUAAUAUGCAAGAAGACAUAGCCUUGUGUGUCUACGUGUUUACUUUGCUGCCCCCCUCUUUUAUUUUGUUGUUUUGCAGUUUGCACGAGCGCAGCCGGAGAUGCAACAGCUGAUCGAUUUGCCAAAAUAUAACCGACGACGUUUUCGCCUCCAUCUCCCCCUGGCGUCAGUGACAUUUUUAUUGUUGUUACUUUUUGUGGCGUGUUAUCUUUUUUGUGUGUGUGUUUUGUUUCUUUAAGACUCUUGGACGACUUUUCUCUAUGCUUGACGAGUAGCCGUUGUUCGCCAAUUUGUUGAAGGGGCACCCCCUUGACGUGUUGGUCCAUUUCGGUGGUUGGGUUACCGCACCAAAAAAUCUCCCUGCAGUGGCUGGACAACAUCCACGUCGAAGAAGCAGCGCGCACAUGAGUGGCAAUUUGUCAGUGUGUUGACAUUCGCCAGACAAAACACACACUGUGCUGCGCAUAGACGUGAAAGAGAGAGAGAAGACACACUAGCCGAGAUGUAGUAGUUUAACAGCCGCUAAAGAAAGUUCGCCGGCUCACGUCAUUUGGUUUGCAUUUGGUCAAUUUUCGGAUUUUCCUAUUUUCUUUGACCUUUCUCUUGGUAUUCGUAUUUUUCUGUUUUGAAAGCUGCUGGGGGCUCCGGCACCUGUGUCCGUGUGUCCAGACUUCUUUUAUCUUCGUAUUUCCAUAGAAUAGAAAACGACAUGAUGGGGGGAGAGAGAGAGGAAAACAAAAGACAUAUGCUGGAUUUGCUUAGUCACUUGGGUCGUUCUCAUUUGGCUCUUUUUUCUUGUUCCCAAUUCUUUGUUGUCUCUCUUAUGUCUCUUGUUGUCCACCUUUUGAAACAUUCUCAAACAAUAUUCUUUGGCUUCUUUGUUAUACCUUUUCUUAUUUUUUUUUGUUUUUUGUUUUUAUUACAUCGAAAUUUCUUUGAACAAACAAAUAACACGGCCAAUUCAAACAUAACAGGCUGCGUGACGCAAUUAAAAAAUUCAUUUCAUCCUCGUAUUAUUUCUUUGACUCUGAUAUUUUCGUACAGAUGAGUGAACAAUAGCCAAGUAAAUUUUGUUAGUUUUUUGUUGUUUUUUUUUUAAAAGAGUUUUCUGUUUAAACAAUUGGACUUUGGUCUGUCUCCAGGCGAACGUCAUUAAUCGACAUUUGAAUACAAUGGGUGAAUCGUGAAUUAGUUUGCUUUUCUUUUUUUUUGUUAUUCCAAUUCUUUUAAUACGACAUCAUUCCACCUUUUUAAAAAAUGCUUAACUAAUUCCUAGUAGCCACUCGUCUCGCGAGUUUAUCUUCUCUCUUCGAAAUAAUAAUAAUAAUAAUAAUAAAAAGGAAUCUACAUGAGAAAAAGCGUUUGGCAUUUGGAUUAGUGAGCAGUUCAGUCGGAGUUCAGUGACCGGCCCGUUUGGAAUCCGAAAAUGCCAGAUACAAGUAGUGCGUUACAUAGACUACAUUUUUGUCCUAUUCCUCUCUGACUUUUUAAUGUAUUAUUCACUGGUUGAAGAAUCCAUCCCUUUUGAAAAACAGUCGAUGAAAAAAACCCAGAAAAAAAAAAAAAAGGUUUUCAAAUAAUUUAGUGAAUUUGCAUAUGCAGUUUAUCUCUCACCUGUGCUUAUUCUUGACUAAACAUUCUCGUUCUUGCCUCAGAAACGCGGGUUCGUGAUCAAACUCUACGAUA